rnacentral:siRNA from 1 species
AUAAGUUAUUCAGUUGUCCGGUAC